rnacentral:rRNA from 1 species
UACGAAGGGGGCUAGCGUUGCUCGGAAUGACUGGGCGUAAAGGGCGCGUAGGCGGAUUGCUUUGUCAGACGUGAAAUUCCAGGGCUCAACCUUGGGGCUGCGUUUGAGACGGGUGAUCUUGGGUUCGGAAGAGGGUCGUGGAAUUCCCAGUGUAGAGGUGAAAUUCGUAGAUAUUCGCAAGAACACCAGUGGCGAAGGCGGCUUACUGGUCCGGAACUGACGCUGAGGUGCGAAAGCGUGGGGAGCAAACAGG